GAUGAACGCUAGCUACAGGCUUAACACAUGCAAGUCGAGGGGUAACGAGAGGAAAGCUUGCUUUCCUUGUCGACGACCGGCGCACGGGUGAGUAACGCGUAUCCAACCUGCCCCCAACUAGGGAAUAACCUUGCGAAAGUAAGACUAAUACCCUAUAAUUUCCUCAGAUGACAUCUGACGAGGAAUAAAGAAUUAUCGGUUGUGGAUGGGGAUGCGUCUGAUUGGCUUGUUGGCGGGGUAACGGCCCACCAAGGCAGCGAUCAGUAGGGGUUCUGAGAGGAAGGUCCCCCACAUUGGAACUGAGACACGGUCCAAACUCCUACGGGAGGCAGCAGUGAGGAAUAUUGGUCAAUGGGCGGAAGCCUGAACCAGCCAAGUAGCGUGCAGGAUGACGGCCCUAUGGGUUGUAAACUGCUUUUGUACAGGAAUAAAGUUAGCCACGUGUGGUUAUUUGUAGGUACUGUAUGAAUAAGGACCGGCUAAUUCCGUGCCAGCAGCCGCCGUAACAC
rnacentral:rRNA from 1 species